GGCGGUCUUCGGUAGUGGCUGCCGGGCUCCCCGCGCGGGCAGGUCGGCCGCUUCGAUCGAUGGCCGCA
rfam:Mycobacterium sp. 1274756.6 contig_94, whole genome shotgun sequence.